AAAAUGUAUGGCGAUGGAGCUCGCCUAAUGCUGUUAAGCUGAUGGCUCCUACCAGGAC
rnacentral:ncRNA from 2 species